rnacentral:rRNA from 1 species
UACGUAGGGCGCAAGCGUUAUCCGGAAUUAUUGGGCGUAAAGAGCUCGUAGGCGGUUUGUCGCGUCUGCUGUGAAAACUGGAGGCUCAACCUCCAGCCUGCAGUGGGUACGGGCAGGCUAGAGUUCGGUAGGGGAGACUGGAAUUCCUGGUGUAGCGGUGAAAUGCGCAGAUAUCAGGAGGAACACCGGUGGCGAAGGCGGGUCUCUGGGCCGAUACUGACGCUGAGGAGCGAAAGCGUGGGGAGCGAACAGG